rnacentral:lncRNA from 1 species
UUGGAGAUAGGAUGGUAGGACCUUUGGUGGAACGUCAGUUGAAGCUAUUUUGGAAUUAGAUUUGAAAUUUGACCGAUCGUCUACUCGAUUUUGGAACAUCCUCUGCUCAAAAUUAGAAGAAGCACUGUGAGUGGAAGGUGUUCAACUUGAAAAGUUAUACCACUUUUAUAUUGGCCAAAAUUCAAGUUCUUCUUUAAAAAUUAUUUUUAUUUGCUUCACAAGUUAUUCUCAACAGGAGGGAGUUUUUAAC